rnacentral:rRNA from 1 species
GACGUAGGGCGCGAGCGUUGUCCGGAUUUAUUGGGCGUAAAGAGCUCGUAGGCGGCUUGUCGCGUCGACUGUGGAAAGCCCGCGGCUCAACCGCGGGUCUGCAGUCGAUACGGGGCAGGCUAGAGUUCGGUAGGGGAGACUGGAAUUCCUGGUGUAGCGGUGAAAUGCGCAGAUAUCAGGAGGAACACCGAUGGCGAAGGCGGGUCUCUGGGCCGAACUGACGCUGAGGAGCGAAA